rnacentral:rRNA from 1 species
UACGUAGGGUGCAAGCGUUGUCCGGAAUUAUUGGGCGUAAAGAGCUUGUAGGCGGUUUGUCGCGUCUGCUGUGAAAUUUCGGGGCUCAACCCCGAACUUGCAGUGGGUACGGGCAGACUAGAGUGUGGUAGGGGAGACUGGAAUUCCUGGUGUAGCGGUGAAAUGCGCAGAUAUCAGGAGGAACACCAAUGGCGAAGGCAGGUCUCUGGGCCACUACUGACGCUGAGAAGCGAAAGCAUGGGGAGCGAACAGG